GGUGGGCUGUGCGAGUCUGGUGACAGCACCUCAGUAGCACAGUAACUUGGCCUUUGCCUGCUCAAGGCUGACUCAGCUGUCUUAGGGAAUUCACAGUCCAGUACAGACAGACCGGAUUGGUCCUUGAAUCCAAAACACCAUCACCAUUGGCCAAUUAAGAAAUCACCCUUUGCCUUCCCCAGGAAGGGAGAAAGUUGUGCCUGCUCUCUGUGGCCAGACAGCUGUAGCCACAUGUGAGCAUUGCAUGGAAAGUGCGGAAGAGCCUUGUCUGAUAUUCAGCCUGCAGAAAUCCCAGAUUUAAGGCAAUCUUAAGAAAAGACAAGAUGGCACAGUCCAGAGACUAAAACUGGCUUCACUUCCCCACUGAUGUUCUUCCCUUCUGUGAUUUCUCAACUUGAGGCAGUAUGAUUGCUUGUUGACAGUGAUGUGCAAUAUAAUAUGUGUACCUCUAAAUUGCUUUCAAGCUGAUAAUUCUUUCUAAUAAGCUUUGAGAUGGUGCU